rnacentral:rRNA from 1 species
UACGUAGGGUCCGAGCGUUGUCCGGAAUUAUUGGGCGUAAGGGCUCGUAGGCGGUUUGUCACGUCGGGAGUGAAAACUCAGGGCUCAACCCUGAGCGUGCUUCCGAUACGGGCAGACUAGAGGUAUGCAGGGAGAACGGAAUUCCUGGUGUAGCGGUGGAAUGCGCAGAUAUCAGGAGGAACACCGGUGGCGAAGGCGGUUCUCUGGGCAUUACCUGACGCUGAGGAGCGAAAGCAUGGGGAGCGAACAGG